GACGAACGCUGGCGGCGUGCUUAACACAUGCCAGUCGAACGCUGAACCCGCUUCGGUGGGGGAUGAGUGGCGAACGGGUGAGUAACACGUGGGCAACCUGCCCCCGGCUCUGGGAUAACUCCAAGAAAUUGGGGCUAAUACCGGAUGUGACCGCUGGCCGCAUGGCCUGGUGGUGGAAAGGGUUUCCGGCUGGGGAUGGGCCCGCGGCCUAUCAGCUUGUUGGUGGGGUAGUGGCCUACCAAGGCGACGACGGGUAGCCGGCCUGAGAGGGUGACCGGCCACACUGGGACUGAGACACGGCCCAGACUCCUACGGGAGGCAGCAGUGGGGAAUAUAGCGCAAUGGGCGGAAGCCUGACGCAGCGACGCCGCGUGGGGGAUGACGGCCUUCGGGUUGUAAACCUCUUUCAGCAGGGACGAAGCGCAAGUGACGGUACCUGCAGAAGAAGCACCGGCCAACUACGUG
rnacentral:rRNA from 1 species